CACAGUCUCACGUAAGAGACUCUCCUGUUCCCCCUCUAAAACCAAACCUGGCUGGUUAUCCAUUCUCAGAAGAGGGAAGAUUCAACAACACGGAUAUAAGCCACUGCACGUUUUGUAUUGCUGCAACUGUUUAUUAUACCUUUUCUAUUUCUUCACACUUUUUUGCUGCCAUCUCUUAUUGCUUUGAGUUUCUCCAACAAGGAUAUAAAAAUAUAAAACCACCACAAAUAACCUGGCAGUGAGCACCUGAAGAGAUCUCCUCUGAAUAAAAGGUACAGUCUUUAGUGUAUGGAUUCUGGAGCACUAUAAUAAUAUGGAUACUUAGAUAGAAGUCGUAUUCCUGGAGGUCUUGGGAUUACAUUCUGAAUACAUUUUUCUUGUUAGAGAAAUCACUUCUAGCUAAAUGAGGCCUUCCUCUGGUAGGAAUAUAAAUUCUGUCCACUUAAGUAGGUCAUAUUUAAAACCACAUUGUAAGUUAAAAGGAACUAUUUAAAGGUUCACUUCAUUAUAAAACCUGAGCGUGACGUAUAUGGAUUUAAAGCUGUCAUAUUCAUUUAACAAAAGGUUUUUUAAAUUCAUAAUUAAAUAUUAUACUUUCACGUUACCCACUUAUUUUGAACUAUGUCUAAUCCAUACCAUAGAAUUGAUUUUUUAAACUAUGUAUUUGACCUAGAUUCUUUCUGACAUCAGGUAUUGGUCACUUCCCAUCACUUCUGCUGCCCACUAAUAUCCUGGAGGGAGAGGACGAUCUCAGGUUUCAGAGCAGAGCAGACAAGAGUUGCUAUCUGGUUGCCAAAGUUCCCUGGCCUCUCAAAAGAUUCUUCUAUCAAAUGGGCAUAAAAUAUCUAGCGUCAAGCACUGUAUUUGGAACAAAGUGGCCACAGAGAUAUGAGGAUAACCUGGUCAAUCAACCCAGAGGUUGCUUAAGAGUCAGACGAGACAAAACCAUCUGAAUAAGAAAGCCUCCCUCUUGCGUCUCCUUCCCACCCUCCCUACCCCACCCCUCUAGGUGGUCACAAAGCACCGAGCUGAUCUCCCUGUGCUAUGCCAUUGUCUUUUAAAUGCUUGCUUCUCCCCAGCCCCUCUUCUUUUAACUCUUCUCUACAUGUCUGCCAUACAGACUAGUUACAUAUUCCUCAGUCUCUGCUUUUCUGCUCUAAGUUAAAAAAUCAACAAUAACACGUGAAAGAAAACAGAAAUACUAAGUCAUAUCCUUUAACCACAGGUAGGGAGAAAUCGAGUUUUUUAAAAGUUACAUUGAGUUUUAACAACUCUCAUUUCAAAACAUAAACAAAAAAAUUUAAGGCAAAUCUCUCAAUACAAAUUUGAAACUAAAUCACAAGCAAGGAAACAUCAACCCCCCAUUGCAAUAUAAAACUGAAUUUCUUAGAAACGCCCCAGCAUACAUUCUUUAUAAUGAGAUCAAUUUCAUAGUAGCUGUCUGACUCACUGGUUUUUUAAGACACAGAUGAUCAUAUCCAAACCACUUAGGAAAGAAGAGAGAAGGAAGAAAGGAGGAAACGGAAGGAAGGCCUCAGUUACACUCAAAAUGAUGUAUCUGAGGAUAAGCUAAAGAACACUUUCUAUAUCUCUAAUGCAUACUGGAAAAAGGUGCAAUAUUUGGUGUGUGUUUCUUUGCAAAGACUGAUAAAAGUUAAUUACACAAAAAGGUUAAGGAAGAUGUAUUUAGGGAUAAAGAAUGGUGAUUUUAAAAUGACAACUUACUACAAAUGCCACUAAUAGAACUAAGAACUUCACCUGUCAAAGGCUUUGUUCAUGUCCAAUGAAAAAUAAUCCUAACAAUUAACCUAUAUAAAAACUCUAUCACAAACCUAAUAGUGACUGAACUUUUCCUUCUUGGGUACACUUCGUUUUAAUCUGAAAAUAUUAUUUCCAAAUUAAUAAAUUACAGAAUAUGACACAA